rnacentral:tRNA from 1 species
CCGAAUCGUUCCGGGUUCGAAUCCCGGGCAACCCAGGGUUGCUAACUCAACGGUAGAGUACUCGGCUUUUAA